rnacentral:rRNA from 1 species
UACGUAGGGUGCAAGCGUUAAUCGGAAUUACUGGGCGUAAAGCGUGCGCAGGCGGUUUUGUAAGUCAGAUGUGAAAUCCCCGGGCUUAACCUGGGAACUGCGUUUGAAAACUACAAGGCUAGAGUGUGGCAGAGGGGGGUGGAAUUCCACGUGUAGCAGUGAAAUGCGUAGAGAUGUGGAGGAACACCGAUGGCGAAGGCAGCCCCCCUGGGUUAACACUGACGCUCAGGCACGAAAGCGUGGGGAGCAAACAGG